AUUGAACGCUGGCGGCAUGCCUUACACAUGCAAGUCGAACGGCAGCACGGGGCAACCUGGUGGCGAGUGGCGAACGGGUGAGUAAUGCAUCGGAACGUACCUUUCAGUGGGGGAUAACGUAGCGAAAGUUACGCUAAUACCGCAUAUUCUGUGAGCAGGAAAGCAGGGGAUCGCAAGACCUUGCGCUGAUUGAGCGGCCGAUGUCAGAGUAGCUAGUUGGUGAGGUAAAGGCCCACCAAGGCGAUGAUCUGUAGCGGGUCUGAGAGGAUGAUCCGCCACACUGGAACUGAGACACGGUCCAGACUCCUACGGGAGGAAGCAGUGGGGAAUUUUGGACAAUGGAGGCAACCCUGAUCCAGCCAUGCCACGUGAGUGAAGAAGGCCUUCGGGUUGUAAAGCUCUUUCGGCCGGGAAGAAAUCGCACGGGCUAAUACCCUGUGUGGAUGACGGUACCGGAAUAAGAAGCACCGGCUAACUACGUGCCAGCCGCCGCGGUAACAC
rnacentral:rRNA from 1 species